ACGGGAGGCAGCAGUCGGGAAUAUUGCGCAAUGGAGGAAACUCUGACGCAGUGACGCCGCGUGCAGGAAGAAGGUUUUCGGAUUGUAAACUGCUUUAGACAGGGAAGAAGAAGUGACAGUACCUGUAGAAUAAGCUCCGGCUAACUACGUGCCAGCAGCCGCGGUAAUACGUAGGGAGCGAGCGUUAUCCGGAUUUAUUGGGUGUAAAGGGUGCGUAGACGGGAAAUUAAGUUAGUUGUGAAAUCCCACGGCUCAACUGUGGAACUGCAACUAAAACUGGUUUUCUUGAGUACUGGAGAGGAAAGUGGAAUUCCUAGUGUAGCGGUGAAAUGCGUAGAUAUCAGGAGGAACACCGGUGGCGAAGGCGGCUUUCUGGACCGUAACUGACGCUGAGGUACGAAAGCGUGGGGAGCAAACAGGAUUAGAUACCCUGAUA
rnacentral:rRNA from 1 species